GCUCCGAUCGUCUAGCUCGGUCAAGGACGCAGGACUCUCACAACUUUCUCUUUUCCAGAAAAGAGAAACUUGACUAAGAGAAAAGGAAGUUAGAGUAAUCCUGUAACCCGGGUUCAAAUCCCGGCCGGAGCA
rnacentral:tRNA from 1 species